UACUCAUCGAGAGCAGCGGAGGGAUUUGGCCCCAUGAUGCUGCAGCAACCAUUCUAUAUAGGGAAAAGGUGCUAAUUCCAUCAGCAUUUGCUGGCAGAUGAGAG
rnacentral:ncRNA from 16 species